rnacentral:rRNA from 1 species
GCUCUUAUGAAGUUAGCGGCGGACGGGUGAGUAACACGUGGGUAACCUGCCCAUAAGACUGGGAUAACUCCGGGAAACCGGGGCUAAUACCGGAUAACAUUUUGAACUGCAUGGUUCGAAAUUGAAAGGCGGCUUCGGCUGUCACUUAUGGAUGGACCCGCGUCGCAUUAGCUAGUUGGUGAGGUAACGGCUCACCAAGGCGACGAUGCGUAACCAACCUGAGAGGGUGAUCGGCCACACUGGGACUGAGACACGGCCCAGACUCCUACGGGAGGCAGCAAUAGGGAAUCUUCCGCAAUGGACGAAAGUCUGACGGAGCAACGCCGCGUGAGUGAUGAAGGCUUUCGGGUCGUAAAACUCUGUUGUUAGGGAAGAACAAGUGCUAGUUGAAUAAGCUGGCACCUUGACGGUACCUAACCAGAAAGCCACGGCUAACUACGUGCCACCAGCCGCGGUAAUACGUAUGUGGCAAGCGUUAUCCGGAAUUAUUGGGCGUAAAGCGCGCGCAGGUGGUUUCUUAAGUCUGAUGUGAAAGCCCACGGCUCAACCGUGGAGGGUCAUUGGAAACUGGGAGACUUGAGUGCAGAAGAGGAAAGUGGAAUUCCAUGUGUAGCGGUGAAAUGCAUAGAGAUAUGGAGGAACACCAGUGGCGAAGGCGACUUUCUGGUCUGUAACUGACACUGAGGCGCGAAA